rnacentral:pre_miRNA from 7 species
CUCUAGUGAGAGUUUUUACCAGCCAAGUUCCUGGGUGUUGUUGAGGUCUCAACUGGUUCAGUUUAUAACCAAAGCUUGCCUGUGAGGUGCUCAAA